CUAUCACAUCGGAUUAGAGGU
rnacentral:siRNA from 1 species